UACGGAGGGUGCAAGCGUUAUCCGGAUUCACUGGGUUUAAAGGGUGCGUAGGUGGGUUGGUAAGUCAGUGGUGAAAUCCCCGAGCUUAACUUGGGAACUGCCAUUGAUACUAUCAGUCUUGAAUACCGUGGAGGUCGGCGGAAUAUGUCAUGUAGCGGUGAAAUGCUUAGAUAUGACAUAGAACACCAAUUGCGAAGGCAGCUGACUACGCGAGUAUUGACACUGAGGCACGAAAGCGUGGGGAUCAAACAGG
rnacentral:rRNA from 1 species